CUGAUGGCUUAUAUCCGACAACAGCAUAGUAGUGCUUAGUGCUAAAAACACAUGUAUAACUUAGAUUUGUAUAAUGCGACAAUGUUCACCAUAGUUACAACAUCCUUUGCUACCAUUUCUAGUUUGAAAAGCGGUCCCUCCCUGUCCGCUACGUAGCCAAGAUGGUGACCAUUGAGGGCAAGAGGUGUCCAUAGUUCCACACUCAACUUUUUGACUUUUUGACUGAGUGCACCAUCCAGUUACUCACAGUGCACUGCAUUUUUCCAUACUUCUCAGUGUGAAUGCACUUAUGCACUCAAAAUGUUAAGUCGGCCGACAUCAGACCAAUUCCUGGCUGGAGUUGAUGCUCCCGGUCUAGCGCCGGUGCUGUGCCAGUGAGAAGCAUCAGGGAAGGUUGGUUUGGGAGCCUCUGCAACUAAUUCAAGGCAGCAGACAAAGUUAGACCAAAUCCUGGCUGGAGCUGAUGCUUUUGGUCUAGCACUGGUGCUGUGCCAGUAAGAAGCAUCAGGGAAGGCUGGUUUGGGAGCCUCUGCAGGUAAUCAAGGCCGUGUUAGGACAUAUCCAGGGGAGCAUAUCAGCCAAGUCUGCGGCGGGAUUCUCCACAUCUGUUGCAAUCCUGUGCAUGAUAGUCUGCAUCUGUCUGUUAGCAUUCAGUAGCUCUGUACUUUAUACAGUAGCUGCUACAGAGUCAAUGAAUUGCUUGCCCUCACAUCAAUCAGUCGCUCACACUCCAUACAGUUUACUGAUUUUGCUGGGUUUGUAGAUGUGGCGAAUAGGAAAUUGCCACUGAUUUAAAUAUGUUAUAUUUUUAUAUGUAUAAAACUUUAUUUUGAAUGUAUAUUAGGUUGCAUUCUUCAGUUGGCAGUUAACGUUAAAAGAGUAAAGCCGCUGAAGAUCAGCCGACUCACACAGUGUUAAUUUGUUCUUUCAGGUGGGUAAAUGUCAUGAAAGCGUGUAUUUAGUUUUUCUAUUUAAUGUACUGUUUUUAUUAUUUUAUUGCUGUUUUUAUUGUUAUUGUACCGCUUUAUGUAUUGUAGCGUGUCUGUAGGUUAUUAGUGUAUAUGCACUAGCUAGGUGGAGCAAGUUGGCACUAGCUUGCCAGUUACGAUGAUAGUUAUCUUUAAAUUAAACAGAUGUAAGGUUUGCCUAAUUGCACUGAUAUGUAUGUAUGUGUAAGAUUUAAUGUUGUAGUGUUUUGUAUUUUCUUUGUUUUGUUCGUUUUCCUCUAGCAGUUAAUAACGUUUAUUUUCAGUAUGUUUAUAACAGUUAGUAACGUUUAUUUUCAGUAUUUAAUGACGUUUAUUUUCAGUUCCAGUUUAUAACGGUUCAUAACGUUUAUUUUCAGUUGUUUACAACAGUUAUAGUCAGUUAGAGCCAGAGCCCGAACAGCUGAUUAGCAGCGCUGUUGUUUACCGUUGUCAAGGCAACCAGGCAACUCACGUUGUAAUACGUCACGCGUAAACAGAGAGGAUGAAUGAGUGAGAUUAUAUUGUAAUGUAAAUGUUGCGUGAUUGAAGUUAUGAGGGAAUGAGAUAAUUAUUUUAUACCUGAAAUGAUAAAAAUUGUAAAUAAAUGUUGAUAAUAGAUUGAUAUAGUACUUUCAAUGCUCUGAUAUAGAAAUGCUAGUUUAUAAAUGAUUACUGUAUUUUGAAAUAUUUAAUUUUUAUAUUAUAUUGUUAUUGUUUUGCAUUGUUGAUGUAUUGUUCCAAGUAAUUUAAGUUGGUAGUUAAUGUUAAAAGAGUAAAGCCACUGAAGAUUAGCCGACUCACACGGUGUUAAUUUGUUCUUUCAGAAUAAAUUAUUUUUCUAAAA